rnacentral:rRNA from 1 species
CCUACGGGAGGCAGCAGUGGGGAAUAUUGCACAAUGGGGGAAACCCUGAUGCAGCGACGCCGCGUGAGCGAUGAAGUAUUUCUGUAUGUAAAGCUCUAUCAGCAGGGAAGAAAAUUACGGUACCUGCCUAAUACUCCCCGGCUAACUACGUUCCAGCCGCCGCGGUACUACGUAGGGGGCAAGCGUUAUCCGGAUUUACUGGGUGUAAAGGGAGCGUAGACGGUCCUGCAAGCCAGAUGUGAAAGCCCGGGGCUCAACCCCGGGACUGCAUUUGGAACUGUAAGGCUAGAGUGUCGGCGAGGCAGGCGGAAUUCCUAGUGUAGCGGUGAAAUGCGUAGAUAUUAGGAGGAACACCAGUGGCGAAGGCGGCCUGCUGGACGAUGACUGACGUUGAGGCUCGAAAGCGUGGGGAGCAAACAGGAUUAGAUACCCCAGUAGUC